GAGAUGCAGCGCUGUAUGUGCCUUCCAACUGUGGAUGCUAUGCUAAGACCUAGUCCCUGGACCAAGUCCCUGAAAAGUGAUGUUUUGACUACCGGAUUUGGAAAACAAAGUGCAGCAUUGCAAAAUGGAUACUCUAGGGAUGACCUCUCUGAACUGAAAAUGGCUUUUUGAUGAGGAUGUUCUAUCACACCAACAUGAUGAACUUUGAAAUUGGAAGAAACUGCUUUGGGGAACAACAGGACAGAAGCUCCUGUGAUUGGAUUUAGCUGUCAUUCCACCCCCUUGCUGGAUAUUUAAGUUAGAAGAAAAGCCCUAGAAUUUGUGUUCAUUGAUAAAAAUCUGCUUUCAGCCAAAAUGUGUGUGUCUGUUUUUAUCACUGUUCAGCUUAUCUCUGCCAAAGUAAGUGAAUUUACCAUCUAUAUUUUUCCAUUUUAUGGUCUUCCUAGGGAAGUCAAAGGAUGUUGCCUGACUUACACAUGAGAACACAAAGUUAUCUGGAUGUUAUUUCUUGGGGAAGCAUCCUACAGGCUGUAGGCACUCUGUGGGUGCUCAGCACCCACUGGUAGCCCUGUGGAUCAACACCUCCCUCCCCCCAAACCCUCCUAUCUGCUGGCAGGCCUCACCGAUCAGCUCCUCCCUCCCAGCACCUCCUGCCUGCUGUGAUCAGUUGUUCAGUGGCAAGCAGGAGGUGCUUGGAGGGGGGGAGCAGGAUUAGGAAAAGGUGGGAGAGGGGGCAGAAGGGGCAAAGGCAGGAAAGAGGCUGAGCGGGGAUGACAGCUUGGGGGAAGGAGUGGGG